GACGAACGCUGGCGGCGUGCUUAACACAUGCAAGUCGAACGGGAAGGCCCCUUUGGGGGUACUCGAGUGGCGAACGGGUGAGUAACACGUGAGUAACCUGCCCUUGACUUCGGGAUAACUUCAGGAAACUGGGGCUAAUACCGGAUAGGAAUCCUUGCUGCAUGGUGGGGGUUGGAAAGCUUCGGCGGUUUUGGAUGGACUCGCGGCUUAUCAGCUUGUUGGUGGGGUAGUGGCUUACCAAGGCUUUGACGGGUAGCCGGCCUGAGAGGGCGACCGGCCACAUUGGGACUGAGAUACGGCCCAGACUCCUACGGGAGGCAGCAGUGGGGAAUAUUGCACAAUGGGCGGAAGCCUGAUGCAGCAACGCCGCGUGCGGGAUGACGGCCUUCGGGUUGUAAACCGCUUUCAGCAGGGGCGAAGCUUGUGGUGACGGUACCUGCAGAAGAAGCACCGGCUAACUACGUG
rnacentral:rRNA from 1 species